rnacentral:rRNA from 1 species
UACGGAGGAUGCAAGCGUUAUCCGGAAUUAUUGGGCGUAAAGCGUCCGUAGGUGGCUAAUCAAGUCUGUUGUCAAAGCGUGGAGCUUAACUCCAUACCGGCGGUGGAAACUGAUGAGCUAGAGUGCGAUAGGGGUAGCAGGAAUUCCCAGUGUAGCGGUGAAAUGCGUAGAGAUUGGGAAGAACACCAGCGGCGAAAGCGUGCUACUGGGUCUGCACUGACACUGAGGGACGAAAGCUAGGGGAGCGAAAGGG